AAUGUCAGUUUGAUCUGGCUACAGCGAUGUCCGCUAGCGGGACUGGCUUAACACAUGCAAGUCGAGCCGGUAAGGCCCCUAUCGGGCGGUACACGAGCGGCGCACGGGUGCGUAACGGCGUAUGCAACCUUCCUUAUGCAGGCGGGAUAGCCCAUGGAAAUCGUGGAUUAAUAUCCCCAUAAUAUCAUUGAAUCGCAUGGGUUUAAUGAUUAAAACUUCGGUGGCCAUAAGAUGGGCAUGCGUCUGAUUAGUUAGUUGGUGGGGUAACGGCCCACCAAGGCAACGAUCAGUAGGGGUCCUGAGAGGGUUACCCCCCACACUGGUACUGAGACACGGAUCCAGACUCCUACGGGAGGCAGCAGUGAGGAAUAUUGGUCAAUGGGCGAAAGCCUGAACCAGCCAUCCCGCGUGCAGGAUGACGGCCCUAUGGGUUGUAAACUGCUUGUUCUACGCCAAGAACCGGUCCUACGUGUAGGGCACUGACGGUAGCGUAGGAAUAAGCGAUCGGCUAACUCCGUGCCAGCUGCCGCGGUAAUACGGAGGAUGCAAGCGUUAUCCGGAUUCAUUGGGUUUAAAGGGUGCGCAGGCGGGUUUGUAACGUCAGUGGUGAAAUACUGCCGCUACAACGGUAGGGUUGCCAUUGAUACUGCAAAUCUUCGAGUUUGGCGGAGGUAGGCGGAAUGUGACAGUGUAGCGGUGAAAUGCAUAGAGAUUGCACAGAACACCGAUUGCGAAGGCAGCUUACUAAUCCACGACUGACGCUGAGGCACGAAAGCAGUGGGGAGCGAACAGGAUUAGAUACCCUGUGUAGUCCACGCCGUAAACGAUGUUCACUCGCUGUUUGCGAUAUACAGUAAGCGGCUUAGCGAAAGCAUUAAGUGAACCACCUGGGUCGUACGAUCGCAAGGUUGAAACUCAAAGGAAUUGACGGGCAGGCCCGCACAAGCGGAGGAACAUGUGGUUUAAUUCGAUGAUACGCGAGGCGUAACCUUACCUGAUCUUAAGAUGCAGAACUGGUUGCGGUGGAAACACCCUUCCGCUUCGGGGCUCCUCUGCAAGGUGCGUGCAUGGUUGUCGUCAGCUCGUGCCGUGAGGUGUCCCAUAUAAGUGGUAUAACGAGCGCAUACCCUUACCGUUAGUUGCCAACAGGUUAAGCUGGCGUGACUCUAGCGGGACUGCCACCGUAAGGUGAAGAGGUAAGGUGGGGAUGACGUCAAAUCAGCACGGCCCUUAUGUCCAGGGCUACACACGUGUUACAAUGGCUCGGUACAGAGGGCAGCUACACCCGCGAGGGGAUGCCCAAUCCACAACUCCGGUCCCAGUUCGGAUUGGAGUCUGCAACCCGACUCCAUGAAGUUGGAUUCGCUAGUAAUCGCGCAUCAGCCAUGGCGCGGUGAAUACGUUCCCGGGCCUUGUACACACCGCUCCGUCAAACCAUGGGAGCUGGGGGUGGCCUGAAGUCUGUGACCGAGAGGUAGCGGCCUAGGGUAAAUACC
rnacentral:rRNA from 1 species